rnacentral:rRNA from 1 species
AACGAACGCUUGCGGCACGCCUAAUACAUGCAAGUCGAGCGAGAAAGUACUUCGGUAUGAGUAAAGCGGCGGACGGGUGAGGAACACGUAGAUAAUCUGCCUUAGAGUGGGGGAUAACUAAUCGAAAGAUUAGCUAAUACCGCAUAAGACCACAAGGGCUUCGGCUCAAGGGGUUAAAGGAGCAAUUCGCUCUAAGAUGAGUCUGCGUCCGAUUAGCUAGUUGGUGAGGUAAUGGCUCACCAAGGCAACGAUCGGUAACUGGUCUGAGAGGAUGACCAGUCACACUGGAACUGAGACACGGUCCAGACUCCUACGGGGGGCAGCAGUAGGGAAUAUUGCACAAUGGACGAAAGUCUGAUGCAGCGACGCCGCGUGAGUGAUGAAGGCCUUCGGGUUGUAAAACUCUGUGAUAAGGGAAGAUGAUGACGGUACCUUAUCAGAAAAGACCGGCUAACUUCGUGCCAGCCGCCGCGGUAAAAC